rnacentral:rRNA from 1 species
GACGUAGGAUGCAAGCGUUGUCCGGAAUUAUUGGGCGUAAAGAGUUCGUAGGCGGUUACUUAAGUCUGGUGUUAAAGACGGGAGCUCAACUCCCGCAUGGCAUCGGAAACUGGGUGGCUAGAGUGCGGUAGAGGUCUCGGGAAUUCCAGGUGUAGCGGUGAAAUGCGUAGAUAUGACACAGAACACCGACUGCGAAGGCAGCUAACUAAGCCAUAACUGACGCUGAUGCACGAAAGCGUGGGGAGCAAACAGG